GUCUGGCGCCAUCUUGUCUUUGGUCGGAUUCUGAGGAGAAACAGCGUCGUGUCGCCGUCAGGCCCCACCUCAACCGCCACCAUAUUUGCCAUGUCGAGAGAUCGUUUUCGGAGCCGCGGCGGCGGCUUCCACCGGCGCGGCGGCGGCGGAGGCCGGGGCGGCCUCCCGGGCAACCAUGACUUCCGUUCGCCGCCGCCAGCCAUCGGGGGCGGCAUGGGGCAAUCGCGCGGCGGCCACCACCAUAUCGGCGGCAGCGGCCCUGCGAAGCCGGAGCCUCCUAAGCCGCCGAGCUCGACCUCCACCCCACCUUCCUCCGCGGCCUCUGUUUCCUCCAGCCCGGCAGCCUCGUCGCCUUCCUUGGGGCCGAACCAGAACCAGAUCGGCGCGCCGCCCGCCACCUCAUCCUCCGCCUCUUCCAUCGCCACACCGAGUUCGGUCUCCGCGCCCGCCGCUCCCUCAGGGCUCCAGAGCGGCGGGCGAGGCGGGGAAACGCAACCGCCGCAGCAGCAGAGUAACGCGCCGCCGAACCAAAGCUCUGGGCAGGGCGGCUCCAAGAAAGGACCUGGCCCGUCUCCCGGAGGAGGGGGAGGACCCAUCGGUGGCCUGAAAGGAGGCCCCGGAGGGCCCCAGCCAGGAGGCGGCCCCAAGAGUGGCGGCGGGCCUGGGCAGCAACACCGCGGCGGCGAAAGGCGCGGAGGGCAGAGCCAGCACCAGCACUCGUCUCAGCACCAGCACCCGCCUCCGUCGCAGCAGCAGGGCGCCGGGGACGAGAAGAUUUCCGACACUGAGGGUUUUAAAGCAAAUCUGUCACUUUUGAGACGCCCUGGAGAGAAAAAAUAUACUCAGCGCUGCCGGCUGUUUGUUGGGAAUUUGCCUGCUGAUAUCACCGAAGAUGAGUUUAAGAGAUUAUUCGCCAAAUAUGGUGAACCAGGGGAAGUCUUUAUUAACAAGGGAAAAGGUUUUGGCUUUAUUAAACUGGAAUCUAGAGCUUUGGCUGAAAUUGCAAAGGCAGAACUUGAUGAUAUUCCUAUGAGAGGAAGGCAGCUUCGUGUGCGUUUUGCCACCCAUGCUGCUGCUCUUUCUGUGCGUAAUCUCUCCCCAUAUGUGUCAAAUGAAUUGUUGGAAGAUGCUUUCUCUCAGUUUGGUCCAAUUGAAAGAGCUAUUGUGAUAGUAGAUGAUCGUGGCAGAUCCUCAGGAAAGGGCAUUGUGGAAUUUGCAUCUAAGCCUGCAGCGCGAAAGGCAUUUGAACGUUGUACUGAAGGUGUCUUUCUUCUGACAACCACUCCUAGGCCAGUUAUUGUAGAGCCCCUUGAACAGUUGGAUGAUGAAGAUGGUCUUCCAGAAAAGCUGGCUCAGAAAAAUCCAAUGUAUCAAAAGGAGAGAGAAACUCCACCACGAUUUGCGCAACCUGGAAGUUUUGAGUAUGAAUAUUCUCAACGGUGGAAAUCCUUGGAUGAAAUGGAGAAACAGCAGAGAGAUCAAGUAGAGAAAAAUAUGAAAGAUGCCAAGGACAAACUGGAAAGCGAGAUGGAGGAUGCUUAUCAUGAGCAUCAGGCAAACCUUUUACGCCAAGAUCUCAUGAGACGUCAAGAGGAACUGAGACGCAUGGAAGAACUUCACAAUCAAGAGAUGCAGAAACGAAAAGAAAUUCAAUUGAGGCAAGAAGAAGAGCGACGUAGGCGGGAAGAAGAGAUGAUGAUCCGUCAACGUGAGAUGGAAGAACAAAUGAGAAGACAGAGAGAAGAAAGCUACACUCGAAUGGGUUAUAUGGAUCCUAGAGAAAGAGACAUGAGAAUGGGCGGUACCAGUGCAAUGAACAUGGGAGAUCCCUAUGGUACAACUGCUCAGAAAUUCCCACCAUUAGCAGGUGGCACUGGCCUUGGUUAUGAGACCAAUCCCGGAGUUGGACAAACAUCUAUGAGUGGCACUAUGAUGGGAAGCGAUAUGCGCCCUGAGCGAUUUGGACAGGGAGGUGCGGGGCCUGUAGGUGGCCAGGGCCCUAGAGGAAUGGGGCCUGGAACUCCUGCAGCUUAUGGGAGAGGGAGAGAAGAAUAUGAAGGCCCAAACAAAAAACCCCGAUUUUAGAUGUGACUUGUAGAUUUUUCAUUCCAGUUUGUUUUAUUUGUCUUGUUUAGACACUACUUUUUUUUUUGAUUCUUGCAUUUUAGUAAGAAAGCUACGUUUUUAUGGAUGUUAGAAACUUAAAAUGACUUAGAAUUUGUAAGUGGUCUGGGCAAAAACAAGUCUAAUUAUGUAAUGCAGUGUUCAAAACUUAGCUUUUUUGAUGUAUAACGUCCCUACCUUGAUGGCAAUGUACCGUGUGCCAUAUGAAAUCCCAAGUGUAAACUUUUUUUACUGUGCUUAAAAUAAAUAGUCUAUACGUAGCAAGAUUCUUUUAUCAUACAUUUCUGAGCAUAGAGGGCAAACACUUUCAAAAGGCAAUGCAUUUCUUGAAAUCUGGAGUGUUGCACAAUAUAUGUGGCUGGGAUGAUUCCAGGCCAUCAAGUCUAAAAUACCUGUGCAAUUUUAAAAUCUACUUGAACUUCAAUAUUUAAUAUCACAAUGAAGUCUUACCCUUAGAAAAAGCUGACAAUUCUGCAAAACUUUGACUAUAAUUAUUUAAGACUACAUAUUUGAAAUUUUAACUUCCUUACAAUGAGGGCGCAAACUGGGUUUUGGUGAAAUAGAUCUUUAAUUUAAUAAAUGAUGUAGUUCAGUUUUGAACAAGGAGGUGGGAAGGGAAGGAAAUGGGUAAGGGCACAUAAUCCAAUAGUACUGGCUGUUGUCUCCAAAGGGCGCUUCCAUGCCAGCUGUUAUAAAUCAUAGCAUGACUUUAUGUUAUUUAGCAUCUCAUUCUUUUAAUAAGACUCAAAAUAUGAGAUCUAGUUGAUCUAUUUCACUUCUAAUUCUUUUUCCUAGUUAAGCCUUUUAAGUGCCCACUGGACAUUUUCUUAACAGAAUCCUUGAUGAUUGAAUAUAUCUAUUGAAAUUGCAAUCCAAAUAUUGAAAGGAAUCAUUUUUUCCCUUGAUUUUCACCAGCAUAAUCUUGAUCCAAAAGGUUUGAGCAUUGGGGGACAUUUGUGUAUUAUAUUUAAUAUCAAAAUUUCACUUAAAUGCAGAAAUGAAAUAUCCUUUGAAGUUUCAGGAUUAAAAUAGUAAAUCUGUUAGAUUAAAGCCUGACAUACAGAAAUCUAAGCAUCAUUAAAAAUUGAAAGAUCUUUUUUCUUGGACAACAUAGUAUCAACUUGUGCUGUUGACUUGGUAGGGUUGAAUCAUUUUAUAUUUAUUAAAAUGCUGUAAGACGUUAAGCUGUCUAUACCCCUCGUACCUAAAAUAUUGGGUGGACAGUUUCCUGGUAUGGAAAAGGUACAAUGGCUUGAUAAAAUGAAGAUGAACCAGAUCAGAGAACGUUCUGUGAUUAAGUUGGGUUUUUUUAUUCAAUAACUUGGGGUGCUUUAAAUCUUUUUAAAUAAGGGUGGGGAAUUUUUUCUGCCCUCAUGGGAAGCCAUUUUAUAUCUCUUUCAAACAGUUACUCUGGGUAAUGUUGCAUUUACUCUACCUUUUCCCCCCAGAAGAUUGUUGAGAGGGGGGCAUAAAACCUUUGGCAAGUCAGUACUGAUUACUUGCAGGCAACCUGUUUUGGCUGGUUUUUUUCCUUUCAACUGUUGACACUUUCUCUGUGCUACUACCUCCAGUAGCUUGGGAUAACCAGAAUGCCAUAUGUGAUCCCCCAUCCCUACUUUAAAUGUCCUAAAGCUGAGGAAGAAUCAGUUACCUGUAAGCCGCUUAUAACUGCAGCGUAUGAAACUUCACUGCCAUCAGUUAUUACGUAUUUUCAUUCUGCAAAAUGGAUUGACUCAAAAGCUUGUGCUGUGCAAGCUUUUUGAAAACCCAAGAAAUGAUAAACAGCUGACAUUCAAGGUUGCUGGACUGCCUCUCAUUUAGUGUUGUGGUUGAAUUGAGCUAUAUUCUCAGAAGCUUCAAGAAGUUACCAUCCAAGGGGAAAGAACACCCGCAGUUCUCUUGCAUUGACUUCAGAUGUAGAGAAACCCUUGGGAUACAAAUGUGGACGUUAACUGUAUCCUGGGCUGCGUACAGCUCAGUUCUUCUUUUCUCAAGGAGGUGUUCAUGGACACCCACUGUAGGAAACACCAAGACUGACAGUGGUGGGGAAAUGGAAUGGAAACUAAUUUUCAGUUUAUUUUUCAGAUUACAUGCCAUUUUUCCUUAGGAUGCUGGCACAUAUCCUAAACCAUGUUCUUUUGUAGUACUGUAAUCUUGGAAGAGUGAAGGAAGCUGAUGGUCCCAUUUCCUUCCUAAGGUUCAUCUCUUGUUUACAUUUUGUCUAAGCUAGGCUGAUAUUAAAAUGGGAAGGAAAUGUUGAGGGGCCGAUGUAGAUUUUUAACACUUUAUUGGACUACUGUUGCCAAACGUCCUUAUAUAAAAUACGCACAGUAGUCUUGACAUCAAAGGAUAACAAACAGGCUGAUCCCUCAGUAGCAAACCAAUUGUUGGGGAGUUUUCAUUGAAUUGAAUGUUUCAUCUUUUUAGCUUUUCCUAAAUGGAUUUAAAUAUUUAGACUUAAGAGAUGAUGCCUUUUGAGCAGAAGCAUAACUAUUCUACUUCUGCAUGCCAUUAAGCUUUUAGGUCAUGCAUAAGUUACCCCAAUUCAAGGGUCUACCCAUGUUUAACAAUCAUAGCAUGCUAUAACCACAUCCUUAUUAGUUGUAAUAAAUGAAUUUCUGUUUCUGUGCGUAUUUUGUGGUAUAUUUGUUUUUAAAAAGUUCUUGGCAUCUCCUUGGCAACCACUUGUGGCAGCAUGCUUUUCUCUGGAGUUUGAGACUGCAAUAUGACACUGAUUAAAAGUAGUGGCCUGCUAUGUAACUGCACUUAGACAGCAUUUCCGCAGUGCAUAACUGUGAGGAACGUAGUACCACAAGUGGCAAUGGACAUUAGCACCUGGAUGUAGUAUUCCUGCUUACUCCAAGAUUCUCAUUGUCGCCUGCAUACAGGUAGGUAAAAAGAACUAUAAUCUAACUUGGUGACUUUCUGUGUAAUCUUGCUAUGGGGGUAUUCUGGCAUCACACUACUGACAGUGGGAUUUCAGUGCAGCACUUCUCAUACUGUAUGGUGCUUAGUUUUGAGGCUUAACUUGCAAUCAGCAUUAGGCAAGCUGACUAAUGAUGCUGACACUUGUGCCUCAGACCCGUGAUUUCUUCGUGCAUAUGACUUGUUUCUUUCUUCACUGUGACAAAGACAUUUUUAGAGAGUUUGAUGGGAGGGGAAAGUGAGUUCAAUCUAUGCAUAAUUUUACUGCUCAUGGUCUCCUUCAUUGUGUAUAAGAAUGAUUGCUUUUAGUUCAUACUAGCUAUAUAUUAAAAGUUGUAUGAAAACUCUUCAUGGUCAGGCAGAUAAAUGCAUUGAUAUUUUUCCCUUUUUAAUAGUAGUGACUGUUAAGUUUGAGGUAGUAUUGAAGUAGUAUUUUGUAACUAUAGUGUCAAGUUAAUAUAAUAUGGGUGGCCGGCUGUGGGAGGAUGACUGUAAUAACGUAAAAAAAUAAUAAUUGAGAGCUCCCCUUACUCUAAUCCAUGCAUCUUACUAAAAAGUAUAGGUUACUUUGCUUACUACUUGAUGGGAAAAAAUAGGGUUUUAUAUCUAAUAUAGUGGAUGAAUAAAAAAUAGGAUUUUAUAUAUCUAAUGUAAGUUGCUCUCCAGAACUAUUGGCUUUGUUGUGCUAGCUCAGUCUAUCUUAUGUGUCUUGAAAGCAAUUCAUAACAUUUGGCUCUUGAUCAAUUCAUUAGAUACAGCAAUGCUCAACUUAAAACUGAAGUGCAGUUCUGUCAAAUUUCAUGUUUCAAUAUGCUUGAAGAAAAAAGACUGCUUCGUGAACAGGAUUCAGCAGUGAAUCUUUUAACAGCCAAGUAAUGGAUUGGAGUUCCUAGUCUUUUGUACCUGGGUGGUUUGCAAGAGAAGAGUGUUUUUUUAAAGUCCCUUGUCAGUAUGAACAGUAGACAUACUGAGAGAAGGUGUACUUUAAAUCCUAUGAACAGCAUGUUCACUGUGGGACUCGUUAUAUUCUAAGUUGGAUAUUCCAAGUAGUGGUAUAACGAACUCAGUAAAUAAGUAUGUUUGCUGUAUAAUUGGGCUGCAGAUAUAUUCAACCAUAGUAACUCUUCAGUUUCAACCAAUAUGCCAAUGGAUUAAUUGAAGUGUGGGGAUUAUCUCUUGACAUAAGUGAAUUUUUAGUAAACAGGUGAAUUGGACUCCAGUUUCUUAUGUAUAUGAUUAACUGCAGUUGUAAAGAAAAAUACAUUAAGUCUUUAAGGGCAGUAACUGAUCAAAACAUAUGUUAAGUAUGUAAGUGGCAUGAGAAAUAACAAAAAGUGCGUGCAUUGUAUUCCAUGUUAAGCUUUUUUGUUCUGGUCUUUGAUUUCCCCUUUGCAAAACUGACUUCAGAGCUCAGAAGUGUGAUGCCAGAAUACAUUAUGCGUACUCUGCUAGGUUCUCAGUUCCGGUUACUAGUGCUGUGUGAGGGCAGAAGCACUUUCCUAACAUUAUUUGGGGGGGGGGGAGGCUUUGUUACAGUAUGGAAAAGCUUCUAUUGGCUGAAGCUCUGCCCCCAAGACUAGGAAACACCUAAGCAGCCAGGGGGCUGAAACUGCAAGUAACUUCAAGCGGCUGAUCAGGAAGGCCUGUGAUAACUUCUAAAAUUGGAGCCCAACGUGAAGAGAUUGUGCUUUUUUAGGUUUGUUUGGACCAUUGGUUGUUUUCCACCAUCACAGCUAGCAAGGUUGGAAUCAACAGGUCAGUUGCAGAUCUGUCUUUAUGCUACUUGCUGGGCUUAAGCAAAUGCUGCAAGAGAGGGGGGCCUGGGGGAGGGGGAGGAGAAGAGGGAGGCAUCUCCCAUUUUGUUUGUUCCAUUAGCAACUGUUUGUGGAAGCCCAAUGGUGGUGUAUUACCAAUCCCCCCCCCCCUCAGAAAACUUUGACAUUGAAUAUUGGCACAAUGAAAUGUGGGAAGGGAUGGCUGCAGACAAAUAGCUAGAGAGAAGAAAUAUUAUUUGUAUUCCUAAUAUAACCUUUUGUUUUGCAAAAGUAAUAAAUCAAGAUGUGGUUUUGAAACUGGCACAUUGGCUGGCUUGGCAGUGUUUCUGACAUUACAAGGGCCAUUAAGAAUUAGUUGCAGGUGGAAAGGUUGACCUUUCACUUUAUGCCCUUAAUAAGAACAUUUGAAAAUGGCUAGGGACAGCCACAGGGCGGGAAAUCUGUAGUAGUCUACAAGCAAAUUCUUCUCUGUCUUGUAAAGAUUCAGAAAGCUUUGGCUUGUCCUUCAAUUACCGGAAAAGAUUAUUUGCUUUAUGGGGUGGUAAGGGGGUGCAUGGCAGCAAUUCAGAGAUGCAGUUAAAUAGCUGAAUGCAAUGGCUUUGCACUUGCACCUAAGGGGCAGUGUACCUCUGGCUGCAACUGUCCUUCUAAUUAGGCAGCAUCUGUUCCAAGGGGCAGUUCAGGGUUAAGUCUUAAGAGUAGUUGCAAUUGCUCACUAUCCUAUGUUUCAGUCUUUGGAAUAAAAUAUUCAUUUCCUUCUUGUGCCCCUUGCUACCCAAUUACUAUUAGUAGCUUUUGUAAAAUUCCCCUCAAUUUUACAAGUUCACAAGUUGCACUUAAUAUUUAAACUUAAUUUUGUUUUCAGAAAUAUUUCAGUCUAUUUUCCCCUACUAACUUUAAUUCUUAUCCUUUAGGUGAAGAUAAUAUCAGCUGGAUGAAAUUAGAACACUCCCAUAUAAGUUGACCAAUAACCAGUAUAUGCCCACACAACUGAAUGUUGUAGAAAGGAGAAGUCUGCAAUACGUAGGAGAAGGAUACAUUUGAUUGAAAAAAGGAGUCCAAGAAUACAGCAGCACUUUCUUGAAAUCUUCAAUAAACUAUUCAGAAACACAA